rnacentral:rRNA from 1 species
UACGUAGGUGGCGAGCGUUAUCCGGAUUUACUGGGUGUAAAGGGCGUGUAGGCGGGUUUGCAAGUCGGGUGUGAAAGAUUCGGGCUUAACCCGGAGAGGUCAUCCGAAACUGCAGAUCUUGAGUGCUGGAGAGGAUAGUGGAAUUCCUGGUGUAGCGGUAAAAUGCGUAGAGAUCAGGAGGAACACCAGUGGCGAAGGCGGCUAUCUGGACAGUAACUGACGCUGAGGCGCGAAAGCGUGGGGAGCAAAC